rnacentral:rRNA from 1 species
GCCUGAUGCAGCGACGCCGCGUGAGGGAUGACGGCCUUCGGGUUGUAAACCUCUUUCAGUAUCGACGAAGCGCACGUGACGGUAGGUACAGAAUAAGGACCGGCCAACUACGUGCCAGCAGCCGCGGUAAUACGUAGGGUCCGAGCGUUGUCCGGAAUUACUGGGCGUAAAGAGCUCGUACGUGGUUUGUCGCGUUGUUCGUGAAAACUCACAGCUCAACUGUGGGCGUGCGGGCGAUACGGGCAGACUACAGUACUGCAGGGGAGACUGGAAUUCCUGGUGUAGCGAUGGAAUGCGCAGAUUUCAAGAGGAACACCGGUGGCGAAGGCGGAUCUCUGGGCAGUAACUGACGCUGAGGAGCGAAAGCGUGGGGAGCGAACAGGAUUAGAUACCCUGGUAGUCCACGCCGUAAACGGUGGGUACUAGGUGUGGGUUUCCUUCCUUGGGAUCCGUGCCGUAUCUUACGCAUUAAGUACCCCGCCUGGGGAGUACGGCCGCAAGGCUAAUACUCACAGAAAUUGACGGGGGCCCGCACAAGCGGCGGACCAUGUGGAUUAAUUCAAUGCAACGCGAAGAACCUUACCUGGGUUUGACAUGCACAGGACGUGCCUAGAGAUAGGUAUUCCCUUGUGGUCU